GGCAGAGGGGACAGCCAAUGCAAAGGCUAAGCGGCAGGAACAGAUUGACCUAUUCCAGAAAGAGAAAGAAGGCCAAUGUGGCUGAGAUUUGGUGAAUGAAGAAGAGAGCAACAUGGAGAAGGUCAGAGAGACAGGCAGCAGGGAGCCGUCGUGGAACUUUGCCGUCAAAUGUUCUACCACUUGUCAUGGAGCUUUGUAAACAAGGCCACGGAAUAUGGAUUUUAUUGUAUAAGCAAUAGGAUGUCAACAGACAUGGAGGAAUGAUCGGCUCUGAUUUACAUUUUCAAGUGCUAACUCUGGCUGCUGGUUGGAGAAAGAACUAGAUGGGGCAAAGAGUAGGAAUGGAUAGACCAAGUAGGAGACAAAAGCAACUGUCCAGAUUAUCAGUUCCCUGAGGGCAAAGCCUCUGGAAAAUAUACUGUUCCUCAUCACAGCCUGGAUGCCGCACACGAGAACACCCCAAAGAGACCGGCGUGUGGCCUGGAUUUGCCUAACCUUGGCUGCGACAUCAGAGCUCAGGGAUCCAGUUACAGAUCAGCCCAGAGGUCUGUUUCUGAUCAGCUCGGCAGCCAUCUGUAAUGCCUGCUAGUCAUUUAACCUGGCAGAGAGUAAGGGCCUCUCCCCCAAAUAGAGUGUAAAACCACAACCACAGCCCGCAAGACCUUGAGACGUGCAAAUCCAGUGAUUACCCAAUGGCAAGUAUGGGUGUGCUGGAAGGCAGCCUUUUCCAAGUCUUCUAAGUCCAGAAUCACUUGGAUCACAUCACACUUGCCCAAGAUGGACACAACGGGGUGCGUGACCUUCCGACUUCAACAACCCCCACCAUUUCAGAGUCCUGAGGAUGACUUUGAAUCUGGAUGCUUCUGAGGCCUCAAAUGCUCACAUCACCUGGAGACUCUGCAAGACCAAGAAGCUGUGGGAUUGGCUGGCGGUGAUGUCACAGCCAUGCCAGCACUGCCUUCUGAGUGGCUGUCUGCCCCCUUGACUAUCUCCUACCCCAUCUUGAUUUAUACAUGGUAUCUUAUAAUAUCCAAA